rnacentral:rRNA from 1 species
CCUACGGGUGGCAGCAGUGGGGAAUAUUGGGCAAUGGAGGAAACUCUGACCCAGCAACGCCGCGUGAAGGAUGACGGUCUUCGGAUUGUAAACUUCUUUCGCGAGGGAUGCAGAAUGACGGUACCUUGUAAGAAAGCCCCGGCAAACUACGUGCCAGCAGCCGCGGGAAAACGCAGGGGGCGAGCGUUGUCCGGAAUGACUGGGCGUAAAGGGAGUGUAGGCGGCAUAUUAAGUUAUGUGUGAAAGCUCGCGGCUCAACCGCGGAAUUGCACAUAAAACUGGGAAGCUGGAGUGCAAGAGAGGUAUGUGGAAUGCGCGGUGUGGCGGUGGAAUGCGUAGAUAUCGGGAAGAACACCGGAGGCGAAGGCGACUUACUGGACAUUAACUGACGCUGAGGCACGAAGGCGAGGGGAGCGAAAGGGAUUAGAUACCCGUGUAGUC